rnacentral:misc_RNA from 1 species
ACUGGCAGUGAGUUUGUUAUGGUG